AUGUACAGACUGAUGAUAUUGCAGGAAAUAAUCCUUCUCCAGAAACUUCAAUCUGUAAGUCAGUGUUUUGCUUUCAGAAAGCAACUUUAUCAUUGAAGUUCCUACCAACUAAAGACACAGUGUUACAGGGCUACUAACACCUCAUUUCUCAAAGUCUGUGUUCUGCUCAUGUACAGAGGAAAGCAAGUAAUUGGAGAGACUUGUGUGCCAGGAGGCAUUGUAACCACAUGAGGGUGGUUCUCAGAAACGGACAGUAAUGAACACUGUUUUGGAGUGUGGACUUCCUGAACUGUCUUGUAUGUAUUGUGCUGUAGAUACUCCUUUGUGAAAGUACUGUUUGAAUGAUGCAGGAGUGACUUCCUUAGUCUCCUCCCCACACACCUCAUCUUUCAAGAUGUGUGCUGGAAUUUCUUGUUUCAAGUGGUUUUUUUGGGUUUUUUUUUUGGGUUUUUUUUUUUUUUUUGUUUUCUUUUUUUAAAGGAAAGGGAAUGAAAGUUUUGUGAGGUAAGAAUUUGUCUCUCAUUCUCUUCUGAAUUCUCUCUCAGGGAGAACAUGGCAGGAGGAGGAAGAGGCUCAGCUCAGUGGAUGCAGAGUGGGAGGCUUCCUGUUACUGAUGUGUAAAGUGGGAAAACAGCAACUCUACGUUGAAACUUAACAAGAUAAAAAGGAAAACAGAAGAUAAUAAAUACAAGGUAAAAAUUCUUUCACAGUUUGAAAUAUUGUCAGCUGAAAUAAGGCUUUUCAGGGCUUUUCACAGGAAUAUUAAUGAAACCUCACAAAAAGUAUCAAUGUGCUUGUGUUACAUAAAUAGUAAAAAUGUUUGAAACAGAGGUGGAUCAGGAGAGCAGCAUUAUGAUCCAUGAGACAUGACACUUCCCAAUACGCUGAGAAGAUAUGACACUGUGUUUCUUCUUCUUAAGUAGAGACAAGCUGCAGUUCUGUAUGAGGGGCUGGAGGUGAGGUGGACUCUGUUCUAAAGCCCUGCUCGCUUAGGCCUUGUGUUAGUGCUAUAGAUGUUACCCCAAUAGAUUUGUGUCCAAACUUACCUUCUAUUUUCAGAACUUAUGUGCUGGCUGUCCAAACAUUUGGCAAGGUCUUGCUAAGAAUAUGCCCACCUAAGGUUUUUUAUGCCAUCUACUUUUAAAUUAUUUAUACUUUCUUGCUGCCUCCUUGCUAUGCCUCAGAUGAGUGUGAAUAAAACUAUCAGUAGCUAAUCCUGAAGUUGUUAU
rnacentral:lncRNA from 1 species